rnacentral:tRNA from 1 species
GGGAAUGUGGCUUAGUGGUAGAGUGUUUGCCUUGCAUGCAUAAAGCCCUAGGUUUGAUUCCUCAGUACCA